UAUGUGAUCGUCUCUCGCAUAUCAAUAAGCGGAGGAAAAGAAACUAACAAGGAUUCCCCUAGUAACGGCGAGUGAAGCGGGAAGAGCUCAAAUUUGAAAUCUUAAAGGGUUUCCCUUUACGAAUUGUAGUUUAAAGAAGUGUUUUCUGUUGAGGUUUUGGUAAAAGUUCUUUGGAAUAGGACAUCAUAGAGGGUGAGAAUCCCGUAUUUGACCUUUACUUUCAACUUUGUGAUACACUUUCAAAGAGUCGGAUUGUUUGGGAAUGCAGUUCAAAAUGGGUGGUAAAUUUCAUCUAAGGCUAAAUAUUGGCGAGAGACCGAUAGCGAACAAGUACCGUGAGGGAAAGAUGAAAAGAACUUUGAAAAGAGAGUUAAACAGUACGUGAAAUUGUCAAAAGGGAAGCGUUUGACACCAGUGUUGUUUUUCUGAAAAUCAAUUAAAGAACUGUUUAUGCUAAGUUGUUUAGACUUUAUCAGCUAACUGUUUAGUUUUGAGCUUUUCUUUAAUGCACUUUUCAGUUAACAAGUCAACAUCAAUUUCUUUUGCUGUAAAAAAGCUUGAGGAAGGUGGCUUGAGAUUCGUCUUAAGUGUUUAUAGCCUCUUGCCUAUGCAGUCGGAGAGAUUGAGGUCUGCAGCGUAGAUCCUUCGGGGCUAAAUGCAUUUGUGCUAAGUUAUAGCAUUUUAUAGACAACUUGUUGACUAUGAUUUGUCUUGUAGCUUACUCGCUUAUGUUAUUUUACCUACGCUUAGGAUGUUGAAGACUCUACAGAGAUA
rnacentral:rRNA from 1 species